UUCAUAUUUAACCUGAUUAGCUAUUUUCUUUUGUGAGCGUGCUGGGCCUUGUAAAAACUCACGGUGCACCAACGAAAUUAAAGCACUCUAAUUGAGUAAACAUGACCAAAAACUUUCAUUUUUUUUUCUCCCACCCAAAAUAGAAAGUAUAUUCACUUGUAAUUUUCCUGAAAGGCAAUUGUGGGUUUUACUCGAAAUUCAUCAAUGUUCCGACACCAAUUGAUUUCCAUUUUCGAAAUCUGAAUGUAGACUUCGAACACUGCGGUCUAAAAUGCCUACGCUACACGUAAUUAAGGAAGAACAUUAUAAAGUCGUUGACCAAAGUUUGCGCUAUCAGAGCGAGACAAUGUCCGGUUGAUACUUUCGGCGCCGUUAACCCUGUCACUUUGAAUCAUUGAACAAUAAAUCAAGUUUCAUUUUCUUCUUUCGUGAAAUGUCACUUCAUUUGAGUGUCCCUUUAAUUUAAUUUAUUUUUAUAGUGCCAUUCACCAAAUGCUGAGCAGCAGGCGAAGAAACGCUAAAAGAAAAAAAAUUAAUCAUCCAAAUUUCCAACUCAAACCAACACCACGUGUCGGCAAGUGUGUAUUUCAUGGAGAUAAAUCUUGCGACAAAUUUCGUGCCUCACAAACUAAAAAAAAAAAAACGAGAGAAAAAAAAGGCUCGUGUUUGCAGAGAACUCCUGUACGUAGGAUAUGUGAAACCCGAGCGCUCAAAUUCAUUUACUUUUUAAUCUUAUAACGAGUGACAUUCUUUUCCUCAAAAAAGUCAUUCCAGGUCUGAAAACCUCAGCGCCACGCCCCGCGGAAAAGGAAAAAGACGGCCAUCGCUUGUUUGUUAACGAAAACCAGCAAACCCUAAAUUCAUAUUCACAUAAAAAGUUUUUGAAAUUACGGCGGCCGGUUAUCUUUUCCUGCCACGAAGACAAAAAAAAAAAAAACAAAAAAAAAAAAAAAAGACCAACGCACAUUGUCACCUAAGAUUUCCCCUCCAGUCCAACGUAAAAAAUAGAAAAAAAAGAAGAGGAAAUUGAAGCACUCUUUUUGAUGAUUUCUUCGCCCACUUCUCCCGCUCCGAUCGAACAAGAAAAAAAAAGUUCGUUGCAGCGUUCGUUUUGAAAA